UUCCUUGUUUGCACUCGGAAGUGACGUUGCACCGCCCCAACUUACCCCCUCCACUCUGGCGGUGGCUGGCUGCGGCAGCUGUACAGCCGGGCGGGGUUGGCGGCAGCGGGAGCUGCGGCGGGAGGGGGGAGUAGUAGGAGGAGAGGCGGAAUAUGGCGGACGGCGUGGACCACAUAGAUAUCUACGCCGAUGUAGGAGAGGAAUUUAAUCAGGAGGCUGAAUAUGGUGGGCAUGAUCAAAUAGAUUUGUAUGACGACGUAAUAUCUCCAUCUGCCAAUAACGGCGAUGCACCAGAGGAUCGUGAUUAUAUGGACUCUCUCCCACCAUCUGUUGGAGAUGAUGUAGGCAAAGGAUCGGCACCAAAUGUUGUCUACACAUUUACAGGAAAGAGAAUUGCAUUGUACAUCGGAAAUCUUACUUGGUGGACCACAGAUGAAGAUUUAACUGAAGCAGUUCAUUCACUUGGUGUAAAUGAUAUUUUGGAGAUAAAAUUUUUUGAAAACCGUGCUAAUGGCCAGUCUAAGGGGUUUGCUCUUGUCGGGGUGGGAUCUGAAGCAUCUUCCAAAAAACUAAUGGAUCUUUUACCCAAACGAGAACUGCAUGGUCAAAAUCCUGUUGUAACUCCAUGUAAUAAGCAGUUUCUGAGUCAAUUUGAACUGCAGUCGAGAAAAACUACACAGUCAGGCCAAAUGUCUGGUGAAGGAAAGGCUGGUCCUCCUGGAGGCAGUUCACGGGCAACGUUUCCACCAAGUAACAGAGGGAGGGGUCGUUUUCCAGGCGCCCUUCCAGGAGGGGAUAGAUUUCCUGGACCAACUGGACCAGGAGGACCCCCCCCACCUUUUCCCGCUGGACAAACUCCUCCACGUCCACCUCUAGGUCCUCCUGGCCCACCAGGCCCUCCAGGUCCUCCUCCACCUGGCCAGGUUCUACCUCCUCCAUUAACUGGUCCCCCUAAUCGUGGUGACCGCCCUCCUCCUCCAGUUCUGUUUCCAGGGCAACCCUUUGGUCAACCUCCAUUGGGUCCACUUCCCCCUGGCCCUCCACCUCCAGUUCCAGGCUAUGGUCCUCCACCAGGUCCUCCACCCCCACAACAGGGUCCUCCUCCACCUCCAGGCCCUUUCCCUCCUCGUCCACCUGGUCCUUUAGGGCCACCCCUGACACUGGCUCCUCCUCCUCACUUACCUGGGCCUCCACCAGGUGCUCCCCCACCAGCUCCACACGUGAAUCCAGCUUUCUUCCCCCCACCAGCCAACAGUGGUAUACCUACAUCAGACAGCCGUGGUCCACCACCUUCAGACCCGUAUGGACGACCUCCACCUUAUGACAGAGGUGAUUAUGGGCCACCAGGCAGGCGUUUCACUGGAAAUAACAUGUCCAUAAGAGAACAAUUACAUAUGCCAUUGUAUUGGAGACAAACGAAAAAUAAUACUCAAAACGCAGGGAGAGAAAUAGAUGCUGCAAGGACGCCUUUAAGUGAAGCAGAAUUUGAAGAAAUCAUGAAUAGAAAUAGGGCUAUCUCUAGCAGUGCCAUUUCAAGAGCUGUAUCAGAUGCAAGUGCUGCGGAGUAUGGAAGUGCUAUAGAAACCUUGGUGACUGCAAUUUCAUUAAUUAAACAGUCCAAAGUAUCUGCUGAUGAUCGUUGCAAAGUACUUAUUAGCUCUCUGCAAGAUUGCCUCCAUGGAAUUGAGUCAAAGUCUUAUGGUUCUGGGUCAAGAAGACGUGAGCGAUCAAGAGAGAGAGAUCACAGCAGGUCAAGAGAGAAAAGUCGGCGCCACAAAUCUCGUAGCAGAGAUCGUCAUGAUGAUUAUUACCGGGAAAGAAGCCGUGAACGUGAGCGACAUCGUGAUCGUGAUCGAGACCGUGACAGAGAGCGCGAUAGAGAACGAGAGUAUCGCCAUCGUUAAAAGACAGCUCGCUGUCCUGAGAGCUUUCCUCUCUGACAUGCUGUGGCACAGCUGAAGGAAGAGGAACGCCUCACCAGACAAGAAACUUCGCGGAAAGAGGCUUAUCCAGCAGUUUGCUUCUUGUGAUCGAACAGAUUCAUGGAUAAAUGAACAGGAAUAGAUCUGAAUAAGGCAAAUCUGCAUACAUGGUAACCAGUAGCUCUCUUACCUUUUUAUGUUGCUUAGCUGUUUUAUUUGAAGGAACCUGUGUGAUUUAAAACGUAUAGCUUUUUGCAACUUUAUUACUGGUUAUAUACAUUUGACAAUAUGUGCAAGCAAUUGAAAAAAGUCAAGUAAAUGCUUGUUUUUAUAGUAGUUGGUUCUUGUUUAAAUGUUCAAAUGAUAAUGUCUGUAAAGAGCACCAAUUUGAUUACGAUAGAUGUAGUGUUGUAAUAAACUGUUUAAUGGGGCUGAUGUGUAAUGCUGUUCCAAGUUAUUUGAUGUUUACACCUCAGGGAGCGUCUUGUGUUCAGCAAUAUUUAAUGGUGUUAUAACAAUGUCUAACAAAACCCUGCAUAUUUUUUUGCAUAUGCAUCAACUUCUUGUAUCUGGUGAAUGAUUAGCAGUUGUCCAACACUUGAUGUUGAUACUAGAAUAAUGGUUACAUCUUAUUUUAAUUUGUAGCUUUUUUUCAUAGAUGGCUUGUGAAUUUGCUGAAAGGUGCGCAAAAGCUGUAAAAACUGUAGAUUAACAUUCUGUAAUAAUCCAAAUAGACUGAACUUCUUUUGAGAAUAUGAAGUCAAAUUAUGGUAUACUGAAGAUUGUUUGUUGCAAUAUGCGACACUAAAAACUUUGUUAAAACAUACAGUUGGAAAAAUAAUUAGCCACUUUUAAAUAAUGCUGCAAUGGUUUCUGGGUUUUUUGAUGCUAAUGUUAUGUCCUGCUUUUAGCACGCCAGUCGUUCUGCACAUAGAUUUAUGCUAGUUUAAGUGACUGAAGAAAAUGUUUCCCCUUUUUAAAGAAUACCAAAUUUCAAAUAGGCUUUUUUAAGCAACAAAAAUUGGCUGCUCGUAAAAAGAGAAUGCAUACACACCCUAAGGAUAAACUAAUAUAGUAAUAAUUUGCCUUAACAAAUACAUGGAGAUCUAAUGCACCAUAAACUAAAGUAGAUUUUACACAUAAUAAAUACAUUGCUUGAUAGUUGACUGUUUUGCUUUGAAAUCCCCACCCAAAUUUACUUUGUUCCAGCCUAGUUUCUAAUUUCAAAACUAUUACAGUUUUAAAAGUUUGUUGAUCAAAUAAUCCCUUGGAUUUGGAUUUUAUAGAAACCCUUUACUUAGUAAAAAAAAAAAAAAAGCUUAUCUAUUUGAAGCAUUAUGACUGGUAAUAUUAAGUAAAAUUACUUGCGAUAAAAGAUUAAUUGGAUAUGAAAUACCACUGAACACAUUUUAAUAUCAAACCUGAGUUUGCCAUCAUAGACUUGACAGAACCAUGAUAAAUCCCAACUUCCUAACCAGUGUACUUGUAUAAUAGAUGUGUUUACAAACAUGUUUGUAAUAUUCACCCUUAUUUAAGUGUUCAUACAAAAUAACUGUGUAACAAGGGCAUAAUGUAUCAUUCAGACCUUAAUGGCAUGCAUAUGAUCAAGUGAUCAGUUUGUUUCUUGCUAAACAUGGAAGCACUCAAAUUAUUGUCUCAGAAGGCUAUAUCCAAUACAACUAAAGAAUUAGUUUGUCUCUGCAUAGCUCAGGCCAAAUCAGGUUGAUUUAACCUUUUCUGGUCAAUAUUGUUUGAACUGUGUUUAACUGGAGCUGGAGGGUGUUUUAAUAGACUGGGGGAGAGUUUUAAUGACUAGCCAUUUUGUACACUAAAAGUUCUCAUGGUCCAUUUCUACUUUGUUAAUUGGAUUUUCUGAUUUACCAUAUUUCUUAUAUGAAAUUUUGGACUUCCUUUGAGAAUAUUUUGAUCACACAAUGCUUUACACAGUUGUUUAUCUGACAAUAAUUCAUUUUAGCCUCUGGCUUGAUUAUACAGAGAAGGGGUGAGUCCGAAGUUGAAGGGAAUAGAAGAAAAAUAUCAUUUUGCUGGAAAAACUAAUCAUGUAAGCAUUGGGGUUUCCUUUUUGCAGAGGUGAAUGGUGGAGUACAAUCUGUGAAUGUCUCCAGAUAAUUAGGAAAUAGGAUGUUGCUGCAAUACCUUGGAAUUGCAUGUCCAUGCUGAGGUGGUUCUUGCAACCCUAAGAAGUCCAAUGUAGUAUUGCUUUUAAUUAGCUGGGAUCUGGGCUGAAGUGAAAGUCUGGAUUAAAUUGUACUGGAAAUUGUUCAAGCUGAAAGAAUAGCAGGUAAGUUAGGUGUGCAAAUGGAUAAAGGUAUUUGAGUAGUAAUUUCAAAUAUUCAGUAACCAAAAUGAAAAUGAUUUUAAAACAUAAGUUAGCUUUCUCUUAAAUUUUACCACUGAACCCUGGAUUAUAGUGUUGGGUAUAUAUUGUCUUACAUUUUCUUCUAUAGUUACUUCCAUUGCUGGCAAUGGAUCUGCCCAAAAUCAAAUCAUGAAUGAUUUUUGAUAACUUUUUGAUACGUAUAGGCUGAACAUUUCUAACUUGUGUGGUAGUAAAAAGUCAUAAUAGUUGUCAUGUGAGUAAAACUUACUAUUCUCAGUUAAAAACUCUCUUCAAUUUUCUCAGUAAUAUUUUUAAAGAAGUCCAAAGAUGUUUAGGCAUUUCACUUGUGAUAACCUUUAGCAAGAAAUAGUACAUUUAUCUCCACAUUCGUAGACAAUGCUUACUCCAGGAGUUAUUACUGUAAAUAGCGACCAAAUAGUACACAAAAUCUGGGUGUGGUGUUGGUUGCUACCAAAGUGGGCUUUGGUGACUGUAUUUAAUCUGUUUAUCUUGGAAAAAAUGUAAAUAAACAGCAAGAGGUACUUAAUAUUUGCCAGAUAGCCUUUUGUAGAUAAAAUUGAUAGCAUCGAAUGGUUAUCUUUUUUUUUAAGAUGAAGUGGUUACCUAAAAUAUCUGACUGAUGCCCUAGUCCAGUGGUUCCCAACCUUUAUGAGAAUGGGACCCCUUUGUAACCUCAAAAUUUUGUCCCUCCCCCCCAAUUGUAAUUUUAGUCUCUGUUAAUUGAAAAAAUGGUGUGUGGCAAAAUCACAUCUCCAAAUAUCCCUUUCCAUUAAAAGCUCCUUGCAGUUGCUUUCUUUUCUUAAUGCAAAGUUCCAAUCAAAUUGGUAUGCCUCUCCCUCCCCCCACAAUCUGAAGAUGUACAGUCCUGUCUCCCUACACCAGUGGGGUUACAGUGUUGGACUAAGAUCCAGGUUCAAAUCCCCACUCAGCUAUGAAGCCCACUGGGUGACCUUGGGCCAGACACAGUCUCUCAGCCUGACCUAUCUCACAGGGUUGGUGUAAGGAUAAAAUGGAAAGGGGGGGAACAAUGUGCACCACCUUAAGCAACUUGGAGGAAAGGUGGGAUAGAAAUGCAAAUUAAAUAUAUAAAUAGAUUUCAGCUGCAACAUGUGGACCCCAGCCUCAGUCAACCUGCUGAGCUUUUUAAUAAUAAUGAAGCAGCAGUGUGAUAGCAACGUAGGAAUGCUAGAUUGUGAAGACAAAAAGAUGGAUAGAUUGAGGAAGGGGGUUAGUUCUUUCAGGCCUUGGGGUGAUCAUCAGAACUGAUGACUUGAGUAGCAUGCACUUGGGGAAUGAGGGGAGUAGAAGGCAGAUCAGCACAUACACAAACACAUCUGCCCCUCCUGUAAGCAUCUGCAGGCAGGCGUGCAUGCAUUUGGGCAUGGAGAAAGCCCUCAACUGCUGCAGCAUCUUGGAGAGAGAUAUUGGGGGGGGGGCAGAGUGUAGGUGUUACA